GACGAACGCUGGCGGCGUGCCUAAUACAUGCAAGUCGAGCGAAUCUUUGGGAGCUUGCUCCCGAAGGUUAGCGGCGGACGGGUGAGUAACACGUGGGCAACCUGCCCUGCAGAUGGGGAUAACUCCGGGAAACCGGGGCUAAUACCGAAUAAUCAGUUUGUCCGCAUGGACAAACUCUGAAAGACGGUUUCGGCUGUCACUGCAGGAUGGGCCCGCGGCGCAUUAGCUAGUUGGUGGGGUAAUGGCCUACCAAGGCGACGAUCCAUAGCCGGCCUGAGAGGGUGAACGGCCACACUGGGACUGAGACACGGCCCAGACUCCUACGGGUGGCAG
rnacentral:rRNA from 1 species